AACUGAUGCAAAUGACUAUGAUGGUUACACCCAACAUCAACAAAGAGCUGCAUUACCUUAACAAGGAAGAUCGGUUGCUGUGCUGGCUUGUGGUCAAACACCGAGAUGCAAAAUAUGGGCUGGAAUUUCUUAGUGAAGAGGACAGCAGAAAUGAACUUAGUAAGUUUCCUCGAAGGAGUUUAUAUGAUAAUCAAGAUGUUGAUGAAGACGAUGACAAUGACGAUGAAUAUGCUGUGGAUGAAGAAGAAGGAAAGCAGACAUAAGUAACUAGAAUGACAGGUGAACUUCAUUGGAUUCAAUAGUCAUUACGUUAUGAGGAUGAUGAAGAAUGUACUUAUCAAUGCCCCUCAUAUCAAACAUUUCUUGUCGAAAUAGUUCACCUCCGACAAACCAUAUACUACUCAAGAAAUUUACGAAGUUAGAGAAGAAUGGGC